AAUAUAUAUGCGAGCAAUAAGUACAUCAACAAUGUCUAGUCCAUUUGCAUUUGACAAAUUCAGAGAAAAUACUCUGUUGUCUAUCCUAUUGAGUCAAAUCUUGUAUCUAAUUCACUUUAUAUUCUAACUUUCAUUACCAACCCAAAGUUAUCUUUUUAUGUCUCUCAACCUUAUACACUUUACAUUUCCUUAGUGAUUUCUUUUCUGAGUCUAGUAAACAAGGAGACUGUAGCUGUCAUGUAUUUAGUCUCUCAGAAACCCAUGAAGAAAACAUUAGCCAAGUAAAGCAGGAAGUGCAAGCAAGCAGCUUCCAAAACAUGUGAGAAAUGACAGAAACAGCUGGCUGCCUGGAUGGUUACCAAAACCUGUACAGUUACCAAAGGUUGCUCUGUAAUGAUGGGACAUCCAUCUUUGGCCUAUAGGCCUAGAAUAUUUGACAGAAUUUUCUUUGAAGCAUGAUUUUUUUUGAAGGAUUGUCCUACCUUGUCUUGGCAAAAUUCGGCAGUCCUUCUUUUCCAAUUUAGACAGCAUACUGUCAGCAGUCAAGACAAGGAUACUUUCUUGCCCAGUGGCUUACUUUUGCUACAAAGAAAGCAAACGCCCUGUGGAGUUUCUUUGAUGACCAUCAUCUUCUCUGAGGUAGAUUUGUGCUGCCAGGAGCAGACAAUGUCUCGUGGUCAUGAAAGAAGAACUGGUGUUAUUAAAACUUCUUAAAUGCCAUAAUCUGCAGAUCUCUGAAGUGUUUGAAGAUAAGCUGUCUAUCUAAAAUAUAUCUGUUUGACCUUGAAAACAUACCUAACAAGUUCAGUUGUAAUAAGUGACUGACUACUACUGACCAACAUUCGUUAUUAUCCCAAAUAGUUGGUAAUAAUAACUUUCAGGGCUAAAACUUUGCAUUACAUUGUUAAAUGAGUUGCAUAGGUACAAUACCUUGAACAAUAUUAGAAAUGUGUGUACGGGGUCAUCUUCUUUCCUUCCUGUAACUGUUUCUUUCUCUGAGACCUGUGACUCAGCCAUGCUGAUAGCAAGAUGUCUUUGGGAAAUGCAAAAAUUGGGCAUCCUGCCCCCAACUUCAAAGCCGAAGCUGUUAUGCCAGAUCGACAGACAAUUCACGAUAUCAGCCUAAAUGAGGAAAAUAGAACACAUUCUUCUGUUACCCUCUUGAUUUUACUUUUAUGUGCCCUACUGAGAUCAUUGCUUUCAGUGAUAGGGCAGAAGAAUUUAAGAAACCGAACUGCCAAGUGAUUGGAGCUUCUGUGGAUUCUCACUUCUGUCAUCUGGCAUGGAUUAAUACACCCGAGAAACAGGGAGGAUUGGGACCUGUGAACAUUUCCUUUGGUAUCAGAUCCCAAGCUCAGGAUUAUGGAGUCUUAAAGGCUGAUGAAGGUUAUCUCUUUCAGGGGCCUCUUUAUUAUUGAUGAUAAAGGUGCCCUUUGACAGAUCACUAUAAAUGAUCUUCCUGUGGGCUGCUCUGUAGAUGAGAUUCUGAGACUAGUCCAGGCUUUCCAGUUCACUGACAAACAUGGUGAAGUGUGCCCAGCUGGCUGGAAACCUGGCAGUGGUACCCUCGAGCCUGAUGUCCAAAAGAGCAAAGACUAUUUCUCUAAGCAGAAGUGAAUACUGGACCGUUGUUCUGCCAGGCUGCAUUGGGCAGCCAGAAGAAAAUCUCUUGUACUCUAUUCGUGCUUAAACAGAAAACUUGGUAUGAUCUAAGACAUCCCCUUCCUACGGUGCUGGAAAGUUAGCCUUUCUUUCACUGUUGGGAAUAGCAUAGAGAAACCCUGUCUCGAAAACCAAAAGUAAAAUAAAGAUUUUAAUAUAGACUUAAGCAUAGGCAUUAUGGGAUAAAAAUAAGCAAAUAAAUUAAAAUAAAAUUUAGGGAUGUUCUUGUAACCUUGGCUGGCCUAUGUCAUUGAGAAUAUAGCCUUGGACUCUUGAUCCUCCUACCUCUGGCUAUGAAGUUUUGGGUUAUGGACAUGUGACAUCAUUCUUGACUUUGACAUUUUCACUUUCCACUUUUUGUUUUCGUUGUUGUCUUGAGAUGUGUUCUCUCUAUGCCCCUGGCUGUCCUGGUACUCAGUAUGUAGACCAGCCUGUGCUCAAGCCCCUUCAGCGUAUGUUGCAUGCCCAGCUGGACAUUUUCGCUCUCGAGAACUCUUCUAGAAAGGAGCUCAAAUUACCAUGAUUUCACUUAAUUAGCAGCAUUUUCUGAGGACAGAAAUGCAAAAGUGACAGCUUUUGGUCACUCUGGACCCACUUUGAAUUAAUUGGGUUUGCCUUUGCCUGAAUGAAUCAUUCCUCAUGAAUUUCCUUCCCAUAAUGGAUUUGGGGAAUCUUGGAACCUCUAUAAGCAUUUGAAGUACUAAUUCAAAGAUUU